CCAACUCUUCUUAUAACUCACACCACUUCCCAUAUUUCCUCUUAAUUCCUAUUUUCCACCCAAAAUGUUUAUUCCUAUUUAUUUUAAUGAUUAAUUAAAAUUAAUUAUUAAUUCCAAUUAUUUCUAAUUAUUUUAAUUAUUAUAUCAACCCACAAAUAUUUUUACUACACCUCACCACAUGUCAUAUACACAUACAACACAC
rnacentral:lncRNA from 1 species